rnacentral:lncRNA from 1 species
AUUAACUGUCAGGGAGGAUGACCUGUGACCUGUGUGUGCUGGCAAGUGACAAAUCAGAAACAAAUGACUGACCCCCUGGGCUGUCCUAAGCCAAGUUUAAGUCACCAUUGGUACAUGUGAGACACAGGAAGUGAUGUAAAGAAUGGCCUUUAUAUUUCUCGUGACUUCCGGUGAGGGGGGCUUUUGCAGCUUUUGCGGACUUUGGCGGUGAAAUUUGACUUGAAGGAGCUUUGAAGUGUGGGUUCUGAGAUGGCUUCCCUGAGUGGCCAUGUGGCCUGGAACUCUAUCUACUGUGCCACCUAGUUAUGGGAAUAGAGGCAUAUUUUUGUGGACAACUGAGAGUGCCGAAGAUUGGAGAGCUGAGAGUUAUUGAAAAGUCCCUUAAAAUAAUUCCUACUGCCAGAGUCAUCAUCAUCAUUAUUGACUGUGCUUUAAGAAAAAAGAAGAGAAGAAAAAUAAAGCAUUUCAACAAAAAUUAUCAAUGCAUUGAUUCUGACAGUAUUUGCAAUAUUUCAAGCCCAAUUCUUUUCCAAUAAAGGGAACAACAUGAAUUUUAUCAUCCUUUCUUCAGAGACUAUUAUAAUUACAUAAUACUCAAUUUCAGGUUCUUGUUGUUGUUUCCAUUUGCUCUUUUGUAACACUUGUUUAUAUAGUUUUCUUGACUAUUGACUUCACUCUUGAUCAGUUCAUAUUAUUUUUCUUAUGCCUCUCUAAAUUCUUUAUAUUUAUCACUUUUCAUAGUAUAAUAAAAUCCAAGAAUAGGUUGCUUGUUCUUCA